CCGCAAGGUUAAAACUCAAAUGAAUUGACGGGGGCCCGCACAAGCGGUGGAGCAUGUGGUUUAAUUCGAUGCAACGCGAAGAACCUUACCUGGUCUUGACAUCCACGGAAGUUUUCAGAGAUGAGAAUGUGCCUUCGGGAACCGUGAGACAGGUGCUGCAUGGCUGUCGUCAGCUCGUGUUGUGAAAUGUUGGGUUAAGUCCCGCAACGAGCGCAACCCUUAUCCUUUGUUGCCAGCGGUCCGGCCGGGAACUCAAAGGAGACUGCCAGUGAUAAACUGGAGGAAGGUGGGGAUGACGUCAAGUCAUCAUGGCCCUUACGACCAGGGCUACACACGUGCUACAAUGGCGCAUACAAAGAGAAGCGACCUCGCGAGAGCAAGCGGACCUCAUAAAGUGCGUCGUAGUCCGGAUUGGAGUCUGCAACUCGACUCCAUGAAGUCGGAAUCGCUAGUAAUCGUGGAUCAGAAUGCCACGGUGAAUACGUUCCCGGGCCUUGUACACACCGCCCGUCACACCAUGGGAGUGGGUUGCAAAAGAAGUAGGUAGCUUAACCUUCGGGAGGGCGCUUACCACUUUGUGAUUCAUGACUGGGGUGAAGUCGUAACAAGGUAACCGUAGGGGAACCUGCGGUUGGAUCACCUCCUUA
rnacentral:rRNA from 2 species